UGGCGAAGGUCCCAGCAGAGGGGGUAGCUCCAUAACGAGGCCUCUCUAACAGUUGUUUCUACGCUUUCCUUCGCAAAGUGAUUGGCCGAAUCGUAGGAUGCCCAAACUGCUUCCUAUUUUGGUGCAUCUUGAACCCUCGGCUAUAUUUAU